rnacentral:rRNA from 1 species
AGUGAACGCUGGCGGUAGGCCUAACACAUGCAAGUCGAACGGCAGCACAGUAAGAGUUUGCUCUUACGGGUGGCGAGUGGCGGACGGGUGAGGAAUACAUCGGAAUCUACUUUUUCGUGGGGGAUAACGUAGGGAAACUUACGCUAAUACCGCAUACGACCUACGGGUGAAAGCAGGGGAUCUUCGGACCUUGCGCGUUUGAAUGAGCCGAUGUCGGAUUAGCUAGUUGGCGGGGUAAAGGCCCACCAAGGCGACGAUCCGUAGCUGGUCUGAGAGGAUGAUCAGCCACACUGGAACUGAGACACGGUCCAGACUCCUACGGGAGGCAGCAGUGGGGAAUAUUGGACAAUGGGCGCAAGCCUGAUCCAGCCAUACCGCGUGGGUGAAGAAGGCCUUCGGGUUGUAAAGCCCUUUUGUUGGGAAAGAAAAGCAGCAGGUUAAUACCCCGCUGUUCUGACGGUACCCAAAGAAUAAGCACCGGCUAACUUCGUG